rnacentral:rRNA from 1 species
GAGGAUGCGAGCGUUAUCCGGAUUUAUUGGGUUUAAAGGGAGCGUAGGUGGACUGGUAAGUCAGUUGUGAAAGUUUGCGGCUCAACCGUAAAAUUGCAGUUGAUACUGUCAGUCUUGAGUACAGUAGAGGUGGGCGGAAUUCGUGGUGUAGCGGUGAAAUGCUUAGAUAUCACGAAGAACUCCGAUUGCGAAGGCAGCUCACUAGACUGCAACUGACACUGAGGCUCGAAAGUGUGGGUAUCAAACAGGA